UGACCCGUCUUGAAACACGGACCGAGGAGUCCGAAGCGCGCGAGUCGAAGGGAGACGCGAAACCCGGAGGCGAACGGAAAGCAGGAUGCGAUCGGUCGGUGCCCGAAAAGAAUUAGUAGUAGUGGGAUCCCGAACGAGUAGCGGGAAGGGCUACCGACGGACGGGCGCACCACCGUCCCGUUCCGUAACGGAUCGUUUGCGUUGGCGAUGGAACGGAGGCGAGUAGCGCGUGCUUCGGUACCCGAAAGAUGGUGAUCUAUGCUCGGGCGGGACGAAGCCAGAGGAAACUCUGGUGGAAGUCCGCAACGUCUCUGACGUGCAAAUCGAUCGUCUGACCUGAGUAUAGGGGCGAGAGACCAAUCGAACCAUCUAGUAGCUGGUUCCUUCCGA
rnacentral:rRNA from 1 species